rnacentral:rRNA from 167 species
UGACCUCGGAUCAGGUAGGAAUACCCGCUGAACUUAAGCAUAUCAAUAAGCGGAGGA